rnacentral:rRNA from 1 species
CCUACGGGCGGCUGCAGUGAGGAAUAUUGGUCAAUGGACGAGAGUCUGAACCAGCCAAGUAGCGUGAAGGAUGACUGUCCUAUGGGUUGUAAACUUCUUUUAUAAAGGAAUAAAACGCGGCACGUGUGCCUUUUUGCAUGUACUUUAUGAAUAAGGAUCGGCUAACUCCGUGCCAGCAGCCGCGGUAAUACGGAGGGUCCGAGCGUUAUCCGGAUUUAGUGGGUUUAAAGGGUGCGUAGAUGGGUUGUUAAGUCAGUUGUGAAAGUUUGCGGCUCAACCGUAAAAUUGCAAUUGAUACUGGCAGUCUUGAGUACAGUUGAGGUAAGCGGAAUUCGUGGUGUAGCGGUGAAAUGCGUAGAUAUCACGAAGAACCCUGAUUGCGAAGGCAGCUUACUAAACUGUGACUGACAUUGAUGCUCGAAAGUGUGGGUAUCAAACAGGAUUAGAUACCCGAGUAGUC